rnacentral:rRNA from 1 species
CAUGGCUCAGGAUGAACGCUGGCGGCGUGCUUAACACAUGCAAGUCGAACGGAAAGGCCAGUGCUUGCACUGGUACUCGAGUGGCGAACGGGUGAGUAACACGUGGGUGAUCUGCCCUGUACUUCGGGAUAAGCUUGGGAAACUGGGUCUAAUACCGGAUAGGACAACUUUUUGGAUAUUGUUGUGGAAAGCUUUUGCGGUAUGGGAUGAGCUCGCGGCCUAUCAGCUUGUUGGUGGGGUAAUGGCCUACCAAGGCGUCGACGGGUAGCCGGCCUGAGAGGGUGUACGGCCACAUUGGGACUGAGAUACGGCCCAGACUCCUACGGGAGGCAGCAGUGGGGAAUAUUGCACAAUGGGCGCAAGCCUGAUGCAGCGACGCCGCGUGGGGGAUGAAGGCCUUCGGGUUGUAAACUCCUUUCGCUAGGGACGAAGCGCAAGUGACGGUACCUGGAGAAGAAGCACCGGCUAACUACGUGCCAGCAGCCGCGGUAAUACGUAGGGUGCGAGCGUUGUCCGGAAUUACUGGGCGUAAAGAGCUCGUAGGUGGUUUGUCGCGUCGUUUGUGUAAGUCCACAGCUUAACUGUGGGACUGCAGGCGAUACGGGCAUAACUUGAGUGCUGUAGGGGAGACUGGAAUUCCUGGUGUAGCGGUGAAAUGCGCAGAUAUCAGGAGGAACACCGAUGGCGAAGGCAGGUC